rnacentral:tRNA from 1 species
ACCUGACUGGCUCAGUCGGUAGAGCAUGUGACUCUUGAUCUCUGGGACUUGAGUUCAAGCCCCAGGUUUGGCA